rnacentral:rRNA from 1 species
CCUACGGGAGGCAGCAGUAGGGAAUAUUGCUCAAUGGGGGAAACCCUGAAGCAGCAACGCCGCGUGGAGGAUGAAGGUUUUCGGAUUGUAAACUCCUUUUGUUAGAGAAGAUAAUGACGGUAGCUAACGAAUAAGCACCGGCUAACUACGUGCCAGCAGCCGCGGUAAUACGGAGGGUGCAAGCGUUACUCGGAUCCACUGGGCGGAAAGAGCGCGUAGGCGGGAUAGCAAGUCAGAUGUGAAAUCCUAUGGCUUAACCAUAGAACUGCAUUUGAAACUGUUAUUCUAGAGUAUGGGAGAGGUAGGUGGAAUUCUUGGUGUAGGGGUAAAAUCCGUAGAGAUCAAGAGGAAUACUCAUUGCGAAGGCGACCUGCUAGAACAUAACUGACGCUGAUGCGCGAAAGCGUGGGGAGCAAACAGGAUUAGAUACCCCUGUAGUC